UGCACAUAAUCUAUAACCAUGAAGGUGUCCUGACGUCUGCAUAUAAAAGCUCUUUCACUUUCCCCUGCUUUCUUCUGUUCCUUCAGAACUUAACAAGAGCUUACAAAUCCUCCCAAAGGCCUAUUUAGGUUAUCCCCCUAUAUCCCACAGCUGCCAGGCAGAUGCCUGUGGGAGACCAACAAGCAAUAGCCCUCUCCUGCGGUUGUUUUCCAGCUACGGGUAUUGAGAGACUUUCAGCCUCUGAUCUUGAGGUGGCAUAUAGCCAUCAUAAUUGGUAGCUGCUGAUAGCUUUACCCUCCAUGAAUUUGUGUAAUCUCUUCUAAAAGCCAUCUAAGUUGGUUUCUAUCACUGCAUCUCCUGGUAGGAAAAGUCAACAAUUUCACUAUGUCUGCCCUGAAUCUUCCAGCAUUUAGUCUCUUUGGAUGACCUUCGGGUUCUAGCAUUAAGGGAGGAAGAAAAACUUAACGCUAUCUACUUUCUCCACAUCAUGCUUCCCCCCCUCCAUUCACCAAACAUAACACUUCUUUUCAUACAGUACUUUCUCCAGAUAAUUUUGGGUGCCUUUUUCUGCAUUUUUUCCAGCUCUACAGUAUGUGGUUGUUGUUGUUUUUUUUUGAGAUGCAGGAAGCAGAACUGUCCACAGGAUUACAAGUGUGAUCGCACCAUAGGUUUGCAUGAAGACAUUACAAUAUUGGCAGUUUCAUUUUCAGUCCCUUUUCUAACUCUUCUCUAGCAUGGAAUUUUCUAACAUUUUCAUAGCUGCCUCACACAAGGCCCGUGAUUUCCACCAGAACACCACAGUUUCUUUCCUGAUUAGGCACUGCCAGUUCAGACACCAUCCAUGUAUACUUUAGGAUUUAAAAGUGGUGCGAUGUAUUAACUAUUUGUAACCCACUGUGGAAAUCAUUAUUCUGAAGAUGUAGGCUCUAACGUAUUUGUGAGUUUUUGGAUAUUUGGGAUUGUGGCUGUUGUAUAACAAAAUUAUGUGGAUGCAAGGAACUAAAUUGUUACGUACCCUCCAAUAUUUCUCCAAGGAAAAUAGGGAUGUCCUAUUCCAUGUUAAUAAUAAUAAUAACAACAACAAUUUUAUUAUUUAUAACCCACACAUCUGACUGGGUUGCCCCAGCCACUCUGGGCAGUUUCCAACAUGCAUAAAAACAUAAUAAAACAUCAAACAUUAAAAAACUUCCCUAAACAGGGCUGCCUUCAGGUGUCUUCUAAAGGUUGUAUAAUUACUUAUCUCCUUGGCUCUGGCGUCACAUAACUCCAUACCCUCCAACACUUCUCUGAUGAAAAUAGGGACGUCCUAAGGAAAAAACGGGACAAUUCCAGAAUCAAAUCAGAAACUGGGAUGGCUUCUGUAAAUCUGGGACUGCCCCUGGAAAAUAGGGACGCUUGGAGGGUCUGCUGUCCAGAGAGCCAUAUGUGCUCAGAUGAGCACAUGAGUCUUCUGUCAUUCAGUACUGAAUAUUAUGUAGGCCCUCUUCUGCAUGAAAAUCUUUCUCCUCAAUGGAAUUGAAUGGAAAACCAGGGUGGACAACAUAGCAUCUAUCACAGAAACCAUUUUGUUACUCUGUCAGCAUACUUUGUCACUAUGGCUUCUUCAGUCACUGGAGACACUCUUUUGCUCCGGUAUUAUAACUUUUAUUUUAUUUAUUUGAGGCAUUUAUAGGCUGCCUUUCAUAAUAUCUAUCCCAGGGUGGUUAAAGAGCAAUCAUUUACACACGCCGAAGAGCCAACAGGUACGCACCGAGUUCUUGUUUUUGUUUCGCUGGCUCUCUGCAACAAAUCACUAAGCCCUCCUGAGCUGAGAAAGUAGUUGGCAGAUGAGAUGGGGGUGGUGCUGGAAAUGAACAAAAAAUAAAAUCCCAACAGCAUAUGUAGAUCUGGUGAGUGUGUCGUUUUGGCAAACCCUGCUUGUGAGUAUUUCAAGACAGCUUGACAGACUAUAGGGGAUUAGUUCACGCAUACCUUUGAGUCUGCAUACCGAAAGCCUUUUAGUAGAGAAUUUUUAUUAUAGCUGUAAACCCUUGGAAAAGUUGCCAAUUAGCUGAAAAGCAUUAUCUGGCUUUGUCCAUCUUCUUUUCCUUCAGUUUACAGAAAUAUAGUAAUAAGAUAAUAUAUAUGUUGUACUCUUUACUGCAAGAUACCCACAGAGGUGCCUGGUACUAAAUUGUGCUGAAAAGUUGCUGAAUAGUUAUCUGGGUGUUCACAAUGCCUCUUUUAUGUGCAUUGAUUAAUUUUAUAUUCUUUGCUCCAUAAAUCAAGGUAAUAAGGAACAUUUCCAAAUGUGCCACUGAAAGUACCUUUUGCAUUACCUUUGUUCUAUUUAGAACCUUGUUUGUAUUAUAUACUGCAGAACAAGCUGAUAUACAGUUGUAGGUCUAGGGAUGUGCAAGUCUCUCUUAGCACUCUUAACAUGGUCAGAUUAUUACUGUGUUCUCUGAUUCGACUUGAUGUGUUCAAGGAUCUUCUCUGAUCUGAAAGGUCAGCUGCUUUUAGAUGUGCACCAGCAGAAUACUAAUACUGUCCUUAUUCAAAUUACCUGGUACAGUACUUAUUAAAUUGAUGGCCUUGUGCUCUAAUUUAAUACUGCCGUUGUUCAGAGACGGGUCGCAGCUGCACUCUGUGCUGAAUUAGGUGGAUCUGAGGCAAAGUUCAAGCAGAAACCAUGGUUUUGGGCUGCAUUUUCCCACUAAAUUAGCAGUCAGAUGCAGUGUAUAAUUAAUUAGCACAAACCAGGGAAAGCUUGUCAUUUAAUAAGCCUUUUUUAUUUCCACAUUACACAAACAGUGGGAAUUGAUCCAUUAAGUGCCUGGCUAUUAAUGCUGUUUAAUGUAUGUCUGGUUGCUAAAUUGAGAUGUCUACUUACAUACAUACAUUCAGUUUUCAAGAGCUCCUCACAGAUUGCUCAGCGAUUGCUGAGAUUUUAAGUCAUGUUCUACAAAUCAAUACCGUCUUAUGAACAUAGUUGGCUCAGACAGAAAGAUCUAAAAUGUUAGGCGUUGCUUGGUUUGAAAACAUUAUGUCUGAAAGAUGGUCCUGAUAUACUGUUUUUGUCUUUUUUUAAAAAAAUCUGUUUACUAUUAUUGAAUAUAGUGUUCAUUAAUUAUUAAACUUUGAGAACCAUUCAAGUCAUGAGAAGAGCACAGAGAAUUAUUGUGUUUAUGUUACAGAAGAGGUGAGGCAGGUGAACAGCUUAGAAAUUGCCCAUAAUUCUAAAACGAUCCUAAAAUGAUUACCUCCAUUGGCUGCAAUCCAGAAGGGAACACGAGCACCACCUGCACAUUUUCGGAGUGUUAUACUCUCACCAUCUGCCCUUAGAAUAUUCCAAAGAUUCUUUUAAAGUGUCACUGCAUUUCAAAAGCAGUUUGGUCGGGGUGAGGGGGCAGUCAGCAUGAGAGGGAUGUUCUGGUGCAGAAGUAGUUUGGCCUCUUGGCUUCUUUCCUAAGCUGAUGAAUGUUAAUUUUAGCUUUAUAUUGAAACAUAUCCUCCAAUUUCUCCCCCGACAAAAGAGGCUUCUGUUUUUCUCCCAUAUUCUCAGGGUGCUUUGGAUUUUGAUGGGUUCAGGGUUGAGCUUUCUUUAACACUGUGAGGUGAGACCCGCAGGUAUAGGGUGGUAUAUAAAUUAAAUAAAAUUCUGUGUUUUUCUUUCCAUGAAACAUUUAUUGUCUACUUUGCACCCAACCAUGGCUGAAAACCCUCAUGGGAGGAGUUCAUAGAAAUCAUAAAACUGGAAGGGAGCUGGAAGGGACCACAAGGGUCAUAGAGCCCAACCCCCAGCAAUGCAGGAAUCUUUUGCCCAAUGUGGGGCUUGAACCCCCAACUCUGAGAUUAAGUGUCUCAUGCUCUACCAACUGAUGACGUGUUCCCCUGGACUUUAAUUGAAGCAACAUGAUAAGUUAGGGGAAGCUGGUUACUAUAUACACCAGAUUGGUGGUGGUAGCAGGGUGGGGUACAAGUACACAUUACUUGUCUAGAGAGCUAUAUGGCAAAAUUUGGAGAAGUGCAAAUAUUAAAGAUAGCUGGUUCAUGUGUUGUUUCAGGAAGUACAAAUGGAGUAGGUUUGCCAUCAAAUGUGAACUGAGAUGAAUUGAAUUUCUCCUCCAUCGAUAAUAGAUGGACACACUGAUUUUGUUUUUAAGGAAAGUUCUUCCUUUUGCCCCCCCUUUAAUUUUGCACUGAUUUCUAGGUGCACAGUAUACAGCCUCUCUGCAAUCCCAUACUUACAUGAAAGGUCACCUGAGGACAGGAUGCUCAGGAACCCAGGAAGGCGGUAGAAGUAGACCACUGGAGAUACGACUGGCAGAAUGAAAGACUCUCAGAGGUCUUGGCCAUCUUGAAAGCAAGGUAAGCACAACAGAAACACUAUACCACCAUGAAAAUUUCAUCAACAUUUUCUCUCUGCUUUGCUAAUUUUUAAUACAAUUUCUUUUCUCAUCAGUUGUUGGAGAAUGGUUAAGAAAGCACAUAAUAUUUUUUUUCAGACACAGCUCUCAUAUUUAUUCAUUGAUGCCACAAAUACUGCCAUGCUACAUCAGACCAGUGCUUUUUUUCUUUAAAAAAAUGUUUAAGGGUACUCUCAUUUUCACUCAAGAAAAUCACCAUUUUAUAGUUCAAAUCAGGAAAAAUAAAUACAGUAAAUGGACAAAAGUGCAAAGAACAUGCAUUACCUCAUGAUGAUGAAAAAUUUUCCUACUCAUAUUGAAAUACUGCCCCUCAGUGAGGCCAAAUUUUCAUCAGUAAAGCCCUGCACAUCCACAUUCCAAACUGCUUCACACAUUAAAUGCUUGCUUCCGUCUGAGACUCAGGAAACACCGGGAAUGGAAAUGAAGCCGACAUCAGAGGUGGUAACAAUGACACUGACCAAUCACUGUGCUAGAUUCCAACUCCUACUUCACACAUUAAAUGCUCACUUCCGUUUGACAGGAAACACCGUGACAGGAAAUGAAGCUGCCAUCGGGGAUAGCAACAGAACUGAUGAUUCACCGUGCUAGAGAAGAAACUAUUUUAUUAUUUUUUAAUUAGUUUCUUCUCCCGUUAGAUUCACAAAAUGUUUAGGGGUAUGCGUACCCCUGCAUCCCUCCAGGAAAAAAGCACUGCAUCAAGCUGAUAAUCACCUCCAGUAACCUCAGGUAAGGGGUGUUUCCUUAGGCAAAGCAUGAUGGUGUGUAUUUGUAUUUGCCAUCUUUGGCUGAGACUCAGUACUUGGUAAUCAGAACAUUUGGUCAUCAUAGCUAAUGACUACUAAUAGGAUUCAUUUUAUUUGGGUCUUUUUAGAGGAAUGCAAAAACCUAACCCAACAGCCUGUAGCAUAUUAGCAUUCUUAUUAACCUAGGAUUCAAAUACCCCACUCAGCCAUGAAUCACACUAGGUGACUUGGGACCUUUCGCUCACUCUCAACCACUGUGGCGUUUGCCCUCCUAUGUGUGUGACAUCAUACUGGGUUCAUAGGGAAAGGGCUAACUAAUUGUAAAAUGACUAACCAAUGGGAACCCAGGGGGCAGAGUUAACUGUGUAUAAGGUUUAUGCACAGAGGGGUUUUUUAGGGAGUUAAGAGUUGUUGAGAAGCCAGUCUGGAGUUAGAAGAGAGAAAUAAGAAAAGUCUGUGGGUUGGGCUAGUCUGGUGGGAGAGAGUGAGAGAAUUUGUUAAGAUGAGUCAGUCAAACAGUUGAGAUAAUCAGUCAGAAGGCAUUAGAAAGGUAUAGGCCGGUAAAGAAACUAAAUUUAAGAUACUGACAGGAAUAUUAUCUGAGAAACCAUAAACUUGUUAAUGUUUGUAAAAUAAACUUGUUUUUUGGUUCACUUUUAACGACUGACUGGACUCAGUGUUUUACCAGAGAGUAACUGGUUGGUGGCAGCAGGGAAGUGAGCACAGUGGUGGCACAGGGAUCAAUAGACAGUUGUUUUUUUGUUUUUUUAAAAUAAUUUUUAUUAAGUACAAAUUAGAAAACAUACAUAUUCACAACAAAAGAAAAAAAGAAAAUACAUCUAACCAAG